rnacentral:rRNA from 1 species
AAAUUGAAGAGUUUGAUCAUGGCUCAGAUUGAACGCUGGCGGCAGGCCUAACACAUGCAAGUCGAACGGUAACAGGAAGCAGCUUGCUGCUUCGCUGACGAGUGGCGGACGGGUGAGUAAUGUCUGGGAAACUGCCUGAUGGAGGGGGAUAACUACUGGAAACGGUAGCUAAUACCGCAUAAUGUCGCAAGACCAAAGAGGGGGACCUUCGGGCCUCUUGCCAUCGGAUGUGCCCA